AAAGACUUAGUCCUAACCUUACAGUUAAUUCUUGCUAGACAUAUACAUGCAAGUAUCCGCGCCCCAGUGUAAAUGCCCCUAAUCUCUUACUAAGACAAAAGGAGCAGGUAUCAGGCACACCCAUGAUUAGUAGCCCAAGACACCUUGCACAGCCACACCCCCACGGGUACUCAGCAGUAAUUAACAUUAAGCAAUAAGUGUAAACUUGACUUAGUUAUAGCAACACACAGGGUUGGUAAAUCUUGUGCCAGCCACCGCGGUCAUACAAGAGACCCAAAUUAACUGUACACGGCGUAAAGAGUGGAAUUAAUACUAUCACAACAACUAAGAUCAAACCGUAACUGAGCUGUCAUAAGCCCAAGAUGCUCCUAAGACCACCCUUAAGACGAUCUUAGCGCCUUACGAUUAAUUAAAUCCCACGAAAGCUUGGGCACAAACUGGGAUUAGAUACYCCACUAUGCCGGCCCUA
rnacentral:rRNA from 1 species